GUGUCAUGUACCAGAACACAUCAGAUCAUUGGAGGCCCAACGGGUCAUGAGCUGUGUCCUUAGAGGUCCUCGUCGUACUCCAUCAAUGGGGCCGUCUGCCACAGUGAUUCAGCCAUUCAAGGUCAUUAUCGCUGGGAGCCAUGGUGAAGGCUGCAUCCCCAGAGCCCAGAAGGAGGCACCUCUGUUUCAUUCAAAAUAGAACAGGAAAAAUUGGACGGUUUGACUACAGAAGAUCACCAUGUCUGCAUCUUAGAGCAUUCCCACCCCAUCAUGGUGCCCCCAUUGAAAUGAGGCCGGAGGUAAAGUGAAAACUGUGGAACCCAGGCCACUUUCAACGGGUACUCCAUGCCACAUCUCACCUCUUCAUGUCAAUCCACCAACCUGAAAAUUUGUGCCUCAGAUACACAGGGCACCAGCUCAUGUGCAUUGCAGAUAUCAUUCAUAGACCCCUGAUGAUGUCCCGAGGAAGGAGAUCCUGACUCUUCUAUCACUGUGCAGGAAUCAUCUACCCUGACCCCGGGUGAGGCCUGGACCAUGCAGACAGUCCGGGAAGGCAGAAUGGAUACUUUUGUACAGUCCCUGCUGCGAUCCUUCCAGGAGAGGAGCCUCUCAGAAAACGCAGUCGUUUCCUGUCUCUACCAGGUGUUCAGCACAGCCCAAAGGUCCUGGGCCAGCAGUUCCACAGUCCCUAGAUUCCCACCCUGCACAGUGAUAGAAGAGGCAGAAUCCCUUCCUAGGGACAUCAUCAGGGGUCUAUGGAUGAUAUUUGUAAUGCAUGUGAGCUGGUGCCCUGUGUAUCUGAGACGCAAUUUUAAGGAUGGUGCAUUGACAAGUAGAGGUGAGAUGUGGUGUGGAGUACAACUUGAAAGUGGCCUCGGUUCCAACAACAGUUCUGGGUUCAGGUUCAGGUUCGGGAAAGUUAGGGUCGCAUGAGGGUUCAUGUUCCAUUUGGGGUUAGGAUUCGGGUUAGAGUUAAGGUUAGGUUUAGGUUUAGAGUUUGGGUUCGGGUUAGGCUUAGCGUUAGGUUUCGGGUUUGGGAUAAGCUUUGUUUAGGGUCAAGGAUCGGGUCCAGGUUAAGGACCCCACAUGCCGCUCCCUUUGACUUAUUUGUCUCUUCCAAAAAACACCCCGACAUGAAGCCCUCCCAUUGAAAAUCAAGAGAUCUAUGUGAUCCUGGGCUGACAGUCGCUCCCCAGCGACAACCCCUGUAGUCUCCCAACCUGCUCUUUGGAGGCAUCAACGUUCUCUUCUCUGGAACCAAUAUGAGGUUUACUUGAUAUUUUACAAACACUUUUAAUGAAGUUUUUAAAUUCUUGGAGAGAGGGAAAGAGAAUAA
rnacentral:lncRNA from 1 species